CCUACGGGUGGCAGCAGUCGAGAAUCAUUCACAAUGGGGGAAACCCUGAUGGUGCGACGCCGCGUGGGGGAAUGAAGGUCUUCGGAUUGUAAACCCCUGUCAUGUGGGAGCAAAUUAAAAAGAUAGUACCCCAAGAGGAAGAGACGGCUAACUCUGUGCCAGCAGCCGCGGUAAUACAGAGGUCUCAAGCGUUGUUCGGAAUCACUGGGCGUAAAGCGUGCGUAGGCUGUUUCGUAAGUCGUGUGUGAAAGGCGCGGGCUCAACCCGCGGACGGCACAUGAUACUGCGAGACUAGAGUAAUGGAGGGGGAACCGGAAGUCUCGGUGUAGCAGUGAAAUGCGUAGAUAUCGAGAGGAACACUCGUGGCGAAGGCGGGUUCCUGGACAUUAACUGACGCUGAGGCACGAAGGCCAGGGGAGCGAAAGGGAUUAGAUACCCUUGUAGUC
rnacentral:rRNA from 1 species